CCUACGGGGGGCAGCAGUGGGGAAUAUUGCACAAUGGGCGCAAGCCUGAUGCAGCGACGCCGCGUGCGGGAUGGAGGCCUUCGGGUUGUAAACCGCUUUUGUUCAAGGGCAAGGCACGGUUUUUGGCCGUGUUGAGUGGAUUGUUCGAAUAAGCACCGGCUAACUACGUGCCAGCAGCCGCGGUAAUACGUAGGGUGCAAGCGUUAUCCGGAUUUAUUGGGCGUAAAGGGCUCGUAGGCGGUUCGUCGCGUCCGGUGUGAAAGUCCAUCGCUUAACGGUGGAUCCGCGCCGGGUACGGGCGGGCUUGAGUGCGGUAGGGGAGACUGGAAUUCCCGGUGUAACGGUGGAAUGUGUAGAUAUCGGGAAGAACACCAAUGGCGAAGGCAGGUCUCUGGGCCGUUACUGACGCUGAGGAGCGAAAGCGUGGGGAGC
rnacentral:rRNA from 1 species